UUGAUGGAUUUCAGGACGCUG
rnacentral:siRNA from 1 species